AUACUUACCUGGCAAGGAGGAGAUUACCAUGAUCAAGAAGGUGGUUCACCCAGGGCGAGGCUUAAACAUUGCACCAAGUUAGGCGACCACUGCGAAUUCCACAAAUGUGGGAAUCUAGACUGCAUAAUUUGUGGGUAUCUAGUGGGGCGAAGGCGUUCGCGCUCUCCCCCU